rnacentral:lncRNA from 1 species
GGGCCGAUCCUUUGGACCAACCGCAGCCUUCGAAACUCGGUGGAUAAUGGGCCCGCCCCUCUACCCUUCUCCACUUAAAUACCAGGCUUUGCUUGGUUCUUUCUUAUGUACUUCUGUGCAACAUUAGGUUCAUAUAAUGACUUUUAGUACUGCUGCUCUGUGCACAUCCAGCAUGUUUGAUCAUAUGCUUGAUUUCAACAGGUUUACCACAACAGUCUUAUCCAUCAGUCAACAACUCAAAAGGUACGCUAUUUACUUCUGUUGGACAUCAUCAGCUAGCAACAUAUUUCUAUAUUUGUAGUUGUGUUAAAUAAAUAUGUUUGAAAAGCAUGCAUUUGUUCUCAUUUUUCUUUCUGUUAGAGUAUUUUAGUAUUUUCCUAACUUUAGGUUAAGAAAAAAAAUUAAUUCUAAAGUUUGAUUUCAGAUUACACUAACCUAAAUUAAUUUAACAAAAGUAUAAACUAUUUUAAGCAAGAAGGUCUGGAAACAUAGAUACUAUAAAUUUAUGCCAGAGACCUCUAAGGAAUGCAGAAGAACAAAUUGUUGAUAGGAAUUUGCGCCGUCGUACUAGAUAUGCACAAAUGUCGCCUGAGAGAAAACAAUUAUUUUUGUCCCAACUACGAGAUAAAAGAGUUGAAUUGAAAAAAUAAUUAUUCCUUCAUCAUUCAAGUAAUACAGUCGCAUUUUUGCAAUUUGAUAGCCGACCUCAAAGGAAGUGCUCUUACAAAUACCAAU